rnacentral:rRNA from 1 species
AUCUACAGCCAUCCCACCCUGAAUACGCCUAACCUCAUCUGAUCUCUGAAGGUAAGCAGGGUCGGGCCUGGUUAAUACUUGACUGGGAGACUACCUGGAAAUGCUGAGCACUAUUGGCU